rnacentral:rRNA from 1 species
GACGAACGCUGGCGGCGUGCUUAACACAUGCAAGUCGAACGCUGAAGCACCAGCUUGCUGGUGUGGAUGAGUGGCGAACGGGUGAGUAAUACGUGAGUAACCUGCCCUUGACUCUGGGAUAAGCCCGGGAAACUGGGUCUAAUACUGGAUGCUACAUGUCACCGCAUGGUGGUGUGUGGAAAGGGCUUACUGGUCUUGGAUGGGCUCACGGCCUAUCAGCUUGUUGGUGAGGUAAUGGCUCACCAAGGCGACGACGGGUAGCCGGCCUGAGAGGGUGACCGGCCACACUGGGACUGAGACACGGCCCAGACUCCUACGGGAGGCAGCAGUGGGGAAUAUUGCACAAUGGGCGAAAGCCUGAUGCAGCGACGCCGCGUGAGGGAUGACGGCCUUCGGGUUGUAAACCUCUUUCAGCAGGGAAGAAGCCACAAGUGACGGUACCUGCAGAAGAAGCGCCGGCUAACUACGUG